rnacentral:lncRNA from 1 species
GCUCCACCCGGGUCGCGACCGUUACUGGUGGCGCGCGCGGGGACUCAAAGUAGGUAUGAAGACACGGAGACGUUGGGCCACAAGGCAACCCACUGAGGUGGGGACCAAAGAUGGUGGCUCUUUGAAUUGGAGCCAAGCGUGGUGGGCACCCGCUGAGUUGGCCUGUCAUAAAGACAGAGUUGACUCUUUGUCCAUGGGGCAUCCUACUUUCCCUACCUGUCAACAGUUUCCCUUUAGAGUGGCAUAUUUUCAGGUGAAUUCCAUUUAUGCUAUUUUCUUUUCAUCUCAUUUGUUCCUUCAUCAGUAGGCUCGGUGAUGAGCCUUCCCGAGGGCAGGGUUGAUUUCCUGUUUGGUUCACAGAUGUAUGCCGAAUACUUCAAACAGCUCUAGGUAUACCAUAACCAUUGAAUGAAUAUGAUGGACUCCAGGGGAAAGACACAGUUCCCCUAAUCCAGUCCUGGAGGUAGGUGUGAAGGCAGAAAUGGAAAGUAAUGGUUACAGUGUAGCGAGAGAUCUUAGGGUAAGCACAAGUCCAUUGACCACUGUGGAACAGGCAGGAUACACCAGGAACACCAGAAAGCAGGGAAGACACCAGGAAAAGGUUUGCUGAGAAAGUGACAUUUGAGGCCGGGCGCGGUGGAUCACGCCUGUAAUCCCAACACUUUGGGAGGCUAAAGUGGGCGGAUCACCUGAGGUCAGAGCUCGAGACCAUGGUGAAACCCCGUCUCUACUAAAAAUACAAAAAUUAGCCAGGCGUGGUGGUGGGCGCCUGUAAUCCCAGCUGCUCCGGAGGCUGAGGCAGGAGAAUCGCUUGAACCCGGGAGGCAGAGGUUACAGUGAGCUAAGAUAGCACCACUGUACUCCAGCCUGGAUGACAAAGCGAGAUUCUGUCUCAAAAAAAAAAAAAAAGUGACAUUUGAACUGAAUGUUAAAGAAUAGGUAGAAGUUGGACCAGAAAACUAGGUGGGAAAAAGCCAAGGAAUUGGUCUAAGGCAUGAAGAUUUGAGGGGACAAGAACAGUGUGUUCGAAGACUGGGGAAAAAGUCUGGCUGAACCAUAGGCUUUUGCAGGUGAGGGGCAGGUAUUACAAGAUGUGAAUUUCAGAUCAUGGAGAGUCUUGUUAAGGAGUUUAGAUUUUAUUCUGUGUGCACGAAAAACCAUCAGAAGAUUUUAGAGGAGAGACAUUAUCUGGGUGAUCUGGGGCAUAUCUUAACGUUAUAUACGCUUAUAUAUGUUUCAAGGAGAUCUGAAAAUCUUAACCCAGCUAUGUUGCAGUUUCUUUAUCUGAAGAAAUGGAAGAUAAUAAUACCUACUUUACAAGGUUCUUGUGAAGAUUAAAUGAGUCAGAGUCAAUAUAAAGUAAUUAGAACAGUGCUUGACACAUAGGAAGCCUCUAUAUAUGUCAUCUUUUGUUAUCAUUUUUUGCAGUUGCAUCUGAUCAUACUGAGGUGGUCUGGUAAAGUAUAAAAAGCAUGGGCUAAAAAAGAAAGAAAAACAACCGGGAACAGUGGCUCACGCUUGUAAUCCCAGCACUUUGGGAGGGCAAGGUGGGCAGAUCACCUGAGGUCAAGAGUUCGAGUCCACCCUGGCCAAUAUGGCAAAACCCCGUCUCUUCUAAACAUAUAAAAAUUAGCUGUGCGUGGCAGCUCGUGCCUGUAGUCCCAGCUACUUGGGAGGCUGAGGCAGGAGAAUGGCUUGAACCCAAGAGACAGAGGUUGCAGAGAGCCAAGAUUGUGCCACUGCACUUCAGCCUGGGCGACAGAGAGCAAGACUCCGUCUCAAAAAAAAAAAAAAA